UAAGGCUAAAUAUUGGCGAGAGACCGAUAGCGAACAAGUACCGUGAGGGAAAGAUGAAAAGAACUUUGAAAAGAGAGUUAAACAGUACGUGAAAUUGUUGAAAGGGAAACGAUUGAAGUCAGUCAUACCAACGGGAAAUCAACCUUUUGAGCUUGGUCUCGUGGGUUUGAAGAGUUUCAAAGCCUUCGGAUUCGCGGGAUUGGGAUCUCUUGGUGUACUUUUUCGUACGGUUAGUCAACAUCGGUUUUGAAUGUCAUAAAAUGACUGGAGGAAUGUAGCUUCGAUCUCGUAUUGAAGUGUUAUAGCCUUUGGUAGAUGUGAUGUUUGAGACCGAGGAUUGCAACGGAUACCCUUCAGGGCUAUUCGUCUGAUCUCUGAUACGUUGCCUUGAUGUUGAAAGCUUGCUUAUGAUGUUAGGGUAUUACGGUCAAAAGGUUAGAACGAAUUACA
rnacentral:rRNA from 1 species